rnacentral:rRNA from 1 species
UACGGGGGGGGCAAGCGUUGUUCGGAAUUACUGGGCGUAAAGGGCUCGUAGGCGGCCAACUAAGUCAGACGUGAAAUCCCUCGGCUUAACCGGGGAACUGCGUCUGAUACUGGAUGGCUUGAGGUUGGGAGAGGGAUGCGGAAUUCCAGGUGUAGCGGUGAAAUGCGUAGAUAUCCGGAGGAACACCGAUGGCGAAGGCAACCACCUGGGCCUGCAUUGACGCUGAGGUACGAAAGCGUGGGGAGCAAACAGG